CUCUUCUGGUCAAUGAGGUAGAUGUACCUCGCGAUCGGAAGGGUUUCCUUCCAAUCAACAAGGUACAUCCUUGUUGACCGGAAGGAAACCCUUCCAGUCAACAAGGUACAUGUACCUCAUCAACCGGAAGGAAACCCUUCUGAUGGAUGAGGUACAUCUACCUCAUUGACCGCGAGGAA
rnacentral:miRNA from 1 species